rnacentral:rRNA from 1 species
CCUACGGGUGGCAGCAGUGGGGAAUAUUGCACAAUGGGGGGAACCCUGAUGCAGCGACGCCGCGUGAGUGAAGAAGGAUUGCGGUAGGUAAAGCUCUGUCAGCAGGGAAGAAGAAAGACGGGACCGGACCAAGAAGCCCCGGCUAACUCCGUGCCAGCAGCCGAGGUAAAACGGAGGGGGCAAGCGUUAUCCGGAUUUAUUGGGUUUAAAGGGUGCGGAGGAGGAUCGGGAAGGCAGUGGUCAAAUUGAGGGGCUCAACCCCUUCCCGCCCUUGAAACUGGCGUUCUUGCUUGGAAGAGACGUCUGCGGACUGCGUGGUGUAGCGGUGAAAUGCAUAGAUAUCACGCAGAACCCCGAUUGCGAAGGCAGCAUGCCGGCUUCCGACUGCCGCUCAUGCACGAAAUUGUGGGUAUCGAACAGGAUUAGAUACCCUUGUAGUC